rnacentral:sRNA from 1 species
CAGCUACGACAAUAUCGGUUUUAGAGCGCACAAAUGGAUGAAAUAGCUCGUUCCAUGCACACUCUGGAAGUGUCCGUGAAACAAGCUGUCAAGUUUCCGUCUACAUGCACCAGCGAGACAACGUUAUUGCUAAAAAAGCUCCUCUCCGCGAACUCUGCCAGCACCAAUGACCACGAUGAAGCACGCAAAAGUGCCAAGUCAACGAGACGACCAAAACAAUCGACAGGGCACAAGGUUGCCAAAUCAGUCCAGGCCAAAACUCCUGCUAAAUAUGUUCCACUCAAAACAUCACUUGGAACAGAGGAUGGGCUCUCGCAGAAAGAGAAGCUUGUUUUAGCCACGGACGUAUUCAAUUCCGCGUCAAAGGCACUUUCCGAUUAUGUGAAGCUCUCCUCAAAGUGUCAAGAGUCUCGAGAACCCCGGAAAAGCAGAGUUGACACUCCACAAAAGGCGUUGACUCCUAGACGGCCACUGCAACCUGUCUCGCCGAAUACGACCACAUGCUCUCCCGUAAAGACGAAAGUUAUAGACAAGCCUACGCCGAAAACGAGAAUUCAAAGUUGUGGGGUUGUGGAAGUUGCGAAUUGUGCUAGAUUGGCGUUGUCAUAUGUUCGAGACCAGAGGCCACCUCCCUCGGUGGAAACCCUGCAAUUCAAUAGCCAACUAGAGCAAGGUUUUUGCGUCCUGAUCGGGAAGCUUCUUGCUGUUGGUCUGAUUGAACCCGCAAUAAGCGAACUGAGAAAGCUGAAGAGGAGGAUAAAAGGAUAUAUGAUGAACGAAACAUCGAAAGGGAACCCUGAGCGCGCGACGAAACACGCCAACACCGACCAGUGGGACGAACCGUCUAAGGAAACACUAGCAGAACUUAUCCUAUUUGACAGCAUACCUUCUGAUAGACAACUCCUGAAUUUAGUCAUUUCGUUUCAGGCUCAUGUUUUAAAGGCCAUCACCACUGAAAAGAAAGUGGCCAUCGUGAAUAAGCUUUCGGAUCUACUUUUGCUGUCACAACCAAGCAGCCCUGCUAGUAUUAUUCUUACAGCUUGGAAAAAAGGUGUUUUAGAAAACAGCAAGGCGGCACAGCAGUUAUUAUCUCUUUCGCACACCGUCCUUUCCCUCGCUUCACCGUCGCCAGAUACCGA